GGAAUAUUGGUCAAUGGGCGCAAGCCUGAACCAGCCAUGCCGCGUGCAGGAAGAAGCAUCUAUGGUGUGUAAACUGCUUUUAUACAGGAAGAAACAACUCUACGUGUAGAGUCUUGACGGUACUGUAUGAAUAAGGACCGGCUAACUCCGUGCCAGCAGCCGCGGUAAUACGGAGGGUCCAAGCGUUAUCCGGAAUCAUUGGGUUUAAAGGGUCCGUAGGCGGCCUUAUAAGUCAGUGGUGAAAUCUCCUAGCUCAACUAGGAAACUGCCAUUGAUACUGUAGGGCUUGAAUUUUUGUGAAGUAACUAGAAUAUGUAGUGUAGCGGUGAAAUGCUUAGAUAUUACAUGGAAUACCAAUUGCGAAGGCAGGUUACUAACAAACGAUUGACGCUGAUGGACGAAAGCGUGGGGAGCAAAC
rnacentral:rRNA from 1 species